CUUGCUGAUGUUUCUAUCCAGUUUUUGGUGAAGUAUAAGAAUAAAACCAAAGACUUUUAGCUUGAAAAGAAUCCAGCCAAAGAUACAUCUUAAUAUUUGCAAAUUCCCACUAUGGAGCCGUUUAUGCAAUGUGCUGAAUGAUUAAAAACUUAUGCAAGAGUCACAACUCCAGACUGAGUCAUGUGGACAUGUCCUGUAAGAGGAUAGCAAACAUCUAUGCUGGCUAGAAAAACAGACACCUUAUGCCGUAAUAAAUAAGAGAUUUAUCAUCAUUCAUUCACACUAAUGGAAGGCUAAGUACGUGCUUAUGUGCACAAGUUGGGAUGUGUUGUAACAUCAGGCUAAAACUAUGCAAAGUCUUUGGUCCUGUGUAUGAAUCUGUUGUGUCGCCUAACUGGAAUCUCUGUAUGCAGGGCGGUAUGAGUUGGAUGGACUUAAGAAGUUGUAGCUUGGUUGCAGGGACAGAUCCAGGGGGUUAGCCAAGGUGGUCUGGGCCCCUUUUAAAAUCUGACUGGCCACCCUAAGUACAACCCAAAAUCUUAAAUAAACCUUUCUGACAAAACAAGUAGGUUUUUUGCAUUAAAUGUAAUUUCGGAUGGUAAUGAAAGCCUCUACUUUGACUUAUUAUGAUUAAGUUUUUAAAUGUACAUUACGAAACGUUUUGCCCCCAAACCACAUACAUAGUACUCAUCCACACAAUCAAGCGACAAUAUUCCUCACCAUACAUUUUGAACAAUUGUGUCUGAUACUCCCUACUCUCAUCUCAUGUGUGUUUUUGCUCUGCUUGCCUUUUUUGCUGCUGUACCAUAAUCUUUUAUGUCUCUCUUUUUUUGUUGUUGUUUUUGUCUCUUGUUUUUGUCUUCUUUGGUGCUGUUUCUUAAAUUUCUUAUUAUUUUUGUUUCAAUUAUUAUUCAGAUUGCAUUUCGCUCCUUUGCAUGUCUUGUUAAAUGUUUGCAAUAAAAAAAAGACAUAAUUAUGAAAUCUACGUUGUGCAAACUACUGCGAUAGUGACAUCAAAUCAGUGCGCCAUAGCUCCCCCAGCGGUCAAAAACUAAACAGCGUAACGCAAAUGAGAAAGUCAUGUCAGUGAUCCAGUGUUUCCAAGCGUUUGUCUGAUCUUGUCGGAGUAUUCGAGCUGACCAGACAGACCAGGUCUCACAAGUGAGUGCCACUGAAUCACCUUGAAGGUGUGUGUGUGUUGUGUUUAACCCAAUAUAUUCUGACCUCAUCCUCCCUUUAGAUGGCUCUAAAAAUAGCGUUUCAGAGAGUCUGGACACCCACGCCCAGCUGGUGUCACACCUGUAUGUGACACGUAGGCGUGUAAAACUGCAUUGAAGGUGAGUUUGUUCAGAGAUUUCAUAACUCGGUAUAACAAAGCUUGUGGUUGUUUAUUUAGAAAGCUGUAUAAAUUAAAAGCCGGCGGUUUUUAUGGUCUAAGGUUCUGAGGAUGAAUAUUUCUCUGUCAUACUGCGCAUAGACAAGACAAAAUAAAUUAAAUACCACCGUCCAACUUCCUUGACAUUAUCGGCUCAUCAGGGCGAGUGAUGUGAGCAAGACAGAGAGAAUGUGGGAAUUUCACCGUCAGACAGGUAGAGACAGGACAGGGCUGCCAGCACACAGGAACUUUAAUUCAUUCAUAAAAACCGCAGAAAACAAAACAUGCUUUAUCAUCCUGACAUGCUGCGUCUCUCAACCUGUCCGGCUGGCUCUUUCUCAGCACUUCUUUACCCCCCUUUUGUGAUUCAGCUUCUGAAGAUUAAAGAAUUUAAGAGGAAAGGGAUGAAAAGGUUAUGUUGUUUUGUAUAAACAUGUUAAGUAUUAAAAAUGUAGCUAGAGUCAUGAAACAAUAAAAAAAUGCCACUGGAGACAUUUGGUUUGUGGUCAAGAGACAGGAUGUCCCAGAUCUGUCUGUUUGGAGAAAAUAUUACUAUAAUUGUAUGAUAUUUUAACGUCAAUUUGUGCAACAAUUAUAAUAUAGAAAGACUGAAUCUUGAAUAUAGGGUUUAUUUUAAAUGUCGGCUGAAUUAAGUGAGUGACACUGCGUCAGUGUAGAUGCAGCUAACAACAGAGAAGUGAUAAUGGUUGGUCGGUAACACUCGUCUGUGCUUCCAGCUGCACCAUUCUGAGGAAGUUCAGGGCCCAGCUCUGGCUCUGAUUGCUCGUUUGAGUUCACAGGCUUAAAUAAAGACACUUAAUCACAAACGCUCGGUGGAGUUUUUUCUUCUCCUGGAUUGUGCUGGACUUUGCCAAGACCUCAGGCAGUCACAUCUCUGGAUUGGAGGUAAAAUAUUCCCUUUAGAUUACUCAAUGACUCACAAAAAUAACUGUCUUGAGAGAAAUAUGAUACACGUAUCAUUUAGAUUUAAACACAACACGGCAAUUAUGCCAGAUUUUAGCCAACAUGUGCUUUACCGCACAUGUUUGAGGCACAGUCAUGAAUUUUACAACCGUAUUAAAUGCAGGUCUGUUUAUACAUGUUACAGAACAAUUUAACCUACAGAUUCAUUAAACUGAAAUAUGCGAGGGUUAUUAUACACAUUACUGAUGUACCUGAGCUAAUGAGGAAUUUCUCUGUAACUACUCAGUGUGAUGUUUCCCUGAGGGGGCACAGUAAGAGUAAUUCCUGAUUAAGUCAUUUGUAAUGAAAAAGCUAAUCACUAGACAGCAUUUGUUAUUCUGAUUUGCAAAAAUCCAUGUGGUAAAAAAGCUUUAGUGUCUCAUCAUUAUCUUCUGUUUGGCCAUCUAUAUGGGAAUACCUCUUCACUGUAAAAACUCAAAUCUAAGUAAAUGUUUCUGUCUUAACUUUAGGUUUAAAUUCAGCCAAAUUCCCCUGACAUGUCCAGAAAAAUGUCUCACUUCAAGAUAUUACCUGCCAAAACUAUGACCUGAAUUGCUUAUAACGAGUAAAAAUUAAUCUGCCAAUAGAAUAGGGAAAAGAAUCAAACAAGAUAUUUUCACAUUUCAAGGAACUUGAUAUUUAUUUGGAUUAAUUUGAGAUUUUAUCAAAGUCUAUUGGCCGAUUUUCUUACUCAAAAUGAACAUUAAAAAAAAAAAAUGUUGGUGUGUAAUAUUUUAAAAUGAAAUAUUUUGGACCCGUCGAGUGAAUUCAGCCUGAACUGAGACUGAUAGACAUUGAUAAGUACAAAAAAGUCUUUGCAGUCUGAUAACUGUUUAUUUCUCAGGAUGCUCUUGGUUUUCCUGCCACUUGUUCAUUCUUUCCGGAAACUUUUGAUUUUGGCACCACGUGUGGACAAAACCUGAAGUUUUUGUUGAUUCAAUCUUGUGCAUGUAAAGAGAGUGGUAUAAAGCAGAAAACAUACUUUUUAUUGCUAAUUGCAUCACUUGCUGUAAGUUUUUAUGGUGGAAAAUGUAGUCCUAUUAAAUUAAUCAAUUCAACACGAAAAAUUAGACAAAAAUCGAUCAUAUGUUUACUUUGGAAUGUCAUAUAGAAAUAUUUCUAAUAUACAAUUCAUAAUGUUUAAAAGCAAAGCAAAAUCCCCUUAUAGGACCAUGUUUUUAAUUUUAUUACAGAUGAAUCCUAGAUUGUAUUUUUUUUUUAUAUUUGGCUGUAAACCACAUUUAUGCUUAAAUACCUCACAUUACAUUUCAUUAGCUCGGGGUUACAUUCAAAUUUCAUAUAGUUUCAGUUGCUUUCCAUUAGAAGACAAUAGAUUCAUGCAGAUUUGGGUCACAACAGAUAAACAGCAUCGAAAGGGCUGAAUUAAAAUCUCAACGUUGACAUGUGAACAUAACGAAGUAUGACCUCACUGCCAAGCCAGCUGGUGCUUCUCUUUAAUAUCCCAAAUCAUAACAAAAUUGCAUUACAGAUCAAAAUAACUGCAAAUUUUACAUUAAGUUACUAAGCCCUAAUUUUGACAUACUGUUAAAAACCGAAUGAGACUCUUAUUACAGGUUGUCAGUUGCGGUUUUGGGCCACUCGAACAGGUGCUGAUCAAAUCAAAUUGAUCCUACUCUUCAAGUCAAACAUAUAAAAACAGGAAAAACAAGGUGACAGCACUCCGACUUGGCCUCUUCCCUUUCUCAACAACACCAAUUUCCCGAACAGCCAACAAAACCUGCUGAUCAGCUCCCACUGAGCUGUUUUUCUUAUGAAUAGAAGUCAAUUAAAUCUCUGACAAUUUCUGGUGGUCCUUUUUUAUUGUUCUGACACUUUCUACAUAACUGUUUACAGGGUGGGCAAGGCUGUCUGCCCACAGCAUAUAAAAACGGCCCAACACACCUGGAAAAUAAAAUGCUGCUGGAAAACGCUUGUCUUCCAGGGCAACAUAAAAUUCUGCCACCUCUACUCAUGACUAAUUGGCUGUUAACACUGUUUUAACAAACCUGAGCUGCAGUGUUACACUGAUGUGCAAAUGAACAGGCGUGAUUGGAAGAGACGUCAACCAGCGCUGGCAAAAUGGAAACCAGUAGUCGGUUAAAAAUGGGUGUGAGGCGCUGCUGUAUUUCUCUUAUGCAGAUGACGUCACGGUGUUUACCCUCCAAACAUCUCUAGUAGGUGAUUUAUCUGAACAACAUGUUCAGCUGACUGGAUCUGUACGGCAUGUCCAGGGAGCGGAUACUAUUUCAGGUUUUUGGCAGCCUGUUGACGACUGUUUCUUCAUAGAUAUCAGAUAAUAGCUUACCUGGACUGAAAGGUCAAUAAAAGAUGUUUUUUAAUGUUGUCUUGAUUGGAAAUAAAAUAUCAGGUUUUGAUUCUUUUGCUGUCUAGUGGUUGCAUGAUGCGGAUGGCAUAGCGUUGCAACAUAUCAACGUGCAGCCAACUGUAUUUGUACAGCAUGUUCAGGUAUGUGUAUCAUAUUUCAGGUGUUUUUCAGGUGUUGCGAGUCAUCGACUCUUUCAUAAUGCAAAUGGUGCAACAGUUAAAAGGGUUGUAAGCCCUUAGCGGUCAAAACUGCAAAAUUUCAUCACUUUAGCAAAUUAGCUCUAGAAUUACUGGUCUGUUCAACAAGUUUAUUUUAUUUUUUAGCUGUAGGCCUAAGAUUUCCACCACAGUCAGCUGUGGUUUAAGGUAAAUAUCCUGCUGUAAUAAUGCUCCACUACCCAGAUGUAAUCAAGCACAGGUGACAGAUAGAAACUCUGUCAAGAAAUAGGGAUGUACGUGGGCUACAUCUAGUUAAUUGCUUUUAGCGAUUACACAACCAGCAUGGCACGGACAGUCCAGACCUAUUGCUGGUGGUGCUAGCUCUGCCAGUGUUAGCUACACCCUGUAUCCAAUCAGCCAAAGAGGCUCUGAUGCAGAGUUUAGUCAUGGUCAGUCAAAUUAACUGUAAUCUGAGUCUUUAGCUCAGUCAGCUCGCCAGAAUUCAAUUUUUUAUCUGAAUGACUUCUGAGGUGUUUUAAGCUAAAUGUGAGUUUUAAUGCUAGUGGGUUUACUGUGUUUAUUCUAUGCAGAUGACACCAUCUUGUACAAAUGCCUCUUCGUGAACAACACAGUUAAUACCGAUUUGAUAUCCUCACUUUUUCCUCAAUUUCCUGUUCUUCCUGUUCACACUGUACACGUCAGACUUCAAAUACAGUACUGAGUCCUGCCACGUCCAGAAAUACUCAGAUGACACCGCUAUUGUGGCAUGUAUCAGAAAUGGACAAGAAGCUGAAUACAGAGAUCUAAUAAGAGCCUUCAGUGACUGGAGUCACAAAAACUGCCUCCUCCUCAACACCUCAAAGACAAAGGAGAUGGUCGUAGAUCCAACAAAAAAACAUAAUAUGUGAGACAACAGACGAUUGUAUUUCCCUUCGGGGCUCAAUAAAGUUCUUCUUCUUCUUCUCCAAUUCAGUGUCCAGAUCAUCAAAUUCAACGCAACAUGAAAAUCCCUUACUGCGCCUUUAAGUCUACACCGAAUACAUCUCUUGCAACUCCAUCUGCAUAACAUGGACAGCUAUCUGUUUACAGCACAUGCAGGAAGUUCCCUCUAUAUCAUGUAUCAAAAACAUCAAGUAACAACAACAAGGGGGAUGUACAGUAUAGAGACGUUGGUUUUGUCACUGGUUAUUUAAAAAAAACAACACAUAAGCAGCUAUUUCUGUGUCUUCUUAUACAUAAAUCUCACACUUUGAAGAUGUGGGUUACUGGAUGUGCAUGAGAAGCAUGUCCUCUGUACUGGUACUAAUGCUAAGUCAUGGGGAAAGCAGGUCUUCCUGGUGCUGCUGACAAAUCCACUCUUCUCUGAAUAACACACCGCCAUCCGAUCUACUUACGGUCCACAAAACAGUCAAUACUGAAAGUUUAAAAAAAGAACAAAACAGGGAAAGUUUGUUUCCAGGGUUUAUUUUUAGAAGGUUGUGACGCACGUCAGACUGUGAAGCUUUUAUCUGCCAAGAUGUCCUCCUACUUUUUUUACACGUGACAGAACAAGCUCCAGGAUGAAAUAAUAAGUCACAUUUACCCUGUACAGGAAGCUGGCUGACGGACAGCUUCUUAGUUUUCAACAGAGGCGUCAAUGACAAAGUGGUCCAACCUGUGGCUGUCUACAGUCCACAGAUUGUUUCACUCUUUCUAUUACCUUACUCUAAGGUAACCACAAAGCAAGACACGUUAGAUACUACACAAUUAUUUGGUGUUUAAUUCGUGAAAAUAAGAAUGGAGUUCCUGUCAUCUUAGUUUUUCGAACAGAUUGAAACAUCAGGACUGGGUCUGGUCAACUUUGAACAACAAGGAGGUCAAUAAUUCAAACAUAUUAGUAAAAUAAUGGACACUGCUCUCAAUAAUACUAAAGUUAAUACACCAUACAGAAAAUAAAGGCUUAUCCCACCGUUUCUGUUCACCCCAGACAAAAAUGAACUCAUUCCUUGCCAGACUCCAUUUAUUUUAAACAACUGGACCCGUAAUGUGCUAAAUUUAUGAAAAAGUGAAGGAGAUAUUGUUACACCGAGCAGACAGCUCUCUCUUUUUCCUCCUUAUGGAUGAGUGAGAGUGUAAAUGUCACUCCGAAUUGAUGUACUGCUUUCUGAGCAGACUUGUCAAAUAAAGAUUCUGAGUAAAAGCAAAAAGACUAAAUGAUCCAUGUGAUUUGAUCUGAAGCGUUACCAGUCUUUCACUUUGUGUCAUAAAAAGUCGUUCAGUUUAAGCGCGCAGAUGAUAGCGCAGAAACUUGUAUUAAAUAGAAAGAGUCAAAAGUUUGGGGGUAAAACUUAUUAAAGCGAAGGUCCUGUUAAGAUACACAAAGUACAGGUGACCAACUUGUAUCCAAGUCAUGCGUGUGGCUGUCAGGCUACAACCUGAGGCCCGGCUGAUUGUUCACACCCCACGGCGAGACCUGUUGCCCCGGGCUAUUAGUCAUCCUGACAAGCAUGGCGUAUGUGCCACUCUCUCUGGUCAUGACACACUUGUUUCCACCAUCUCCCCACCUUCACACGCCGCUCCGACUCUGAUAUAUUCCUAACACAUAGUGGCAAGAGUGACACAAGACCACUGAACCAAAACAAGCACCUAUCAAUUACUGAUGAAAAAGGCCUUUUUUUUCCUACCGGAGGAGAAAGAGCCUCGACAGCAGUGAAAACCUGAUGCUCUGCUCUGUGGAAAUUCGGCUGUGUAAAACUGAAUAAUCAUCAUAAUUUGAUGCUCCUUGACUAAGAAGAAAAAUGUUUUCAGGCAAUGAAAGAGUUUUAGGAGAAAUUAGACAGUCUGACAAGAGAAAGAGGAAAAAAGCAGGUUUUGACUGCGAACGAUUUGAUAUGCUGUCACUGGGGAUAGGAAUAAAGGAUAAUGGCGAUAUCGGCUUUUAGAGGGGUGGGACAAUGGCAAUUUUGUUAAGACACCAUUAGAUUAGAUUAGAUUAUUCUCGACUCAACUCAAUUAGAUCAGAUUCAACUAGACUAGAUUAGACUAGAUAAAAUUAGAUUAGACUAGAUUAGAUUAGACUCGACUGGACUCAGUUUGACACAAUUUGAAUAGAUUUUAUUAGAUUAGAUUAGAUAUAAUUAGAUCAGAUCAGUCUCAACUGGAUUCGACUUGACUCCACUCGAUGAGAUCAAAAAAGGAUUAGAUAGAAUUAAGUUAGAUUCAACUGGACUAGAUAAAAUUAGAUUAGAAUAGAAUAGAUUAGAUCAGAUUGGACUUGAUAAAACCAGAUUAGGCUAGAUUAAAAUAGUUUAGAUUCAACCAAAACUAGAUUAGAUUAGAUUAGUUUAGAUCAGUCUCGAUUUGACUCAACUCAAUAAAAUUAGAUUAGACUGGACUAGAUUAGACUAGAUCAGAAUAGAUUAGAUCGGAUUCAACUAGACUAGAUUAGGCUAGAUUUGAUUAGUUUAGAUUCGACUAGAUUAUAUUAUAUUAGACUAGAUUAGACUUGACUCGACUGGACUCAAAUAGACUAGACUAGAUUAGAUUGGACUUGAUUAGAUUAGAUUAGAUUAGAUUUGACUGGACUAGAUCAGACUACAUUAGAUUAUUUUAGAUAGGAUUUGACUAGACCAGAUUAGACUGGAUUUGAUUAGAUCAGAUUCGAUUUAACUAGAACACAUUAGAGUAGAUUCAACUAGAUUAGAUUAGAUUAGAUCAGAUUUGACUUGACUAGACUAGACUAGAUUUGACCAGAUUAGAUUGCUUCACAUCACAUUAGAUUGGAUUAGAUACAACUUUAUCUAGCGUUUUGGGAAGGUUCCAACAAGGAAAUUAAAAUAAUAUGCAAAGUAAUCAGUAUAAAAAAAAAGUUUCAUUUAGCCUCAACUGAAUUGUCUAAGAAAUUACUCAAAUCAGGUGAAAUGACUCAUUGAAUUCAUAUCAUUUUCCGUCCUAAUCCAUAUGGGGUCUAACGGGGAAAAAUGUGGUUGAAAAAAGUAACAAUAUGUCCUCUGUUGCAUCAAUGUAAAAAUGUCUACGUCCAUUUUUGACCUUGAUAGAGACAGAAAGUGUGGGGGGGGAAAGGGUGCAAGAUGACGUACAUUGUUCAUCUACCACGAUAAUGACCACAUAAAGAUAGAGAAAUUUCUUCGUGUUAUCGCUGUAUUUCGCAGAUUUUUAAAAAUAUGCACUUUUCCAUCCCUUCUGUAUUUGGGGUUCGUUCACUGACCUGACCACACAUAAGACACUGAGCAUGUGGAUUCUUCUUUAACCGUGUGAGAGGAGAAGAUACCGCUAUUAAAAUUCAAUCUAUCUGAUUUAUGUCGCCAUUGAUACACUUCAUUUGCAAAUCCUAAGUCUUAAAACAGCCACAGGACUAUUGUUUUUUGUUCUUUGCAUGUCACGCUUGAAAGUUGACCUCCACGGGGUCACUGCUUAAAAGUAAAAAGCUCCUGACCUUGGCAUGAGAUACGCCAUCUUGUCCUUGGCGUUAUUCAAAACCGAGGACACGUAACAAUAUUAAUGCGUCCACUCAGGACAAACCGCCAAACACUAAGUCCUAAUGUUGACUUAUUUUUGAGGUAUGAUCCAUAUUUUUUGUCAGGCACUGCUUUGGGUCUCCUGCCUGAGUUGCCAUAAGCUGUGAUUUAAUAUUAGACGAGGCAGGGAUUCAGCACGCUGGUAAAACCAUUAGGAGCUUUCUUCUCUUUUAUCAUUUCCUGGAGGAGGCCUCACAUCGCCUGCUGCAACGAGGUGACGGCUAUCAGCAGACCAAAAUUGGGGGGGAGGGCAUAGAUAAUGUAUGUGGUUAAUUUACAGCUUAGAGGAUCUUGUCCUGCGCUGGUCCUGGGGUGACUCGCAGACUGCAUUUCAAAAACUCCGAGGUGUAAUCAGCAAUCAGAAAGAGGAAGCGGGAUGUCAGGCUUUUAUUAAUGGUUUCCUCUGAGGAGUUUAAUUUACUGUCCGAGCACAGUUGAACUUCCAGAGUGAGUCGAAAGGGGGGCAGAGAGGAGCUAGGUGAAACUACAAAAUACCUUUCAAAGAAUAAUAACCAGAGCGCGAAACAGACUGACAACGCAGUGUUUAACUCAUGUCUAGAAAUGCACCUAAAUGUGAUUUUCUUGUUUUGAUUCUUGAAUAUUUCCCCUCGUUUUUGCUUUUAAUCUUUACUGCACCUGGUUCAUCUCUCUGCCAGUCCUCUCUACAUGCCCGGUGAUCAUUUAGCUACGCUCUGCUGUAGGUCUGCAUGACUUCCAAAUCAAGUGAAUUUAACUUGUCGAUAUGUCAUUAGAAAUGAGAAUCUGGCGGGUUUCCCUCUUGCAUAAAACACUAAAAGUAGACAUAACUAAAAGGAAGUGCAUUGGCUUCAUAUGGUGAUUUGGCGUGUAUAGCAUGUUGCAAUGGCAAUGCCUUCACAAUAUAUUGUGCAGGGCUUUGAUAAAUCAUCAUAAGCACUUAAUUACUUCUUCUCUUUCCUACAAGAAAAACAUGGUGAUGACUGCAGGAGGUGCAGGGUAGAGGACUUUAACGCGCUGAUGUGCGUGUUGAAACCUGUAAGGCCCUUUAGGUUUGUAUUUGAUUUAACUGACAGCUUCAAAAUGAGCUGCUUUUCAUUUUAAAUCACGAGCUUCAAAUAUGGUUUUCAGAAACUGAGGCUUUUAAAGGCACAGUGAGUAGUUUUACGUGGCAUUUAGUGGUACAGAACUGGUGGAAAUAUAGUGUAAUGAUCACAUUGUUGCUUGUAUCUUUUUUUUUUUUUUUACAUCACUCAGUGCUUUAAGUCGUUCUUUUAAAACAUCACUGAGAUUUCUGAAAAGUAUUUAAAAAGUUCCAUGAAGUGUCACAUCAUUUAAAAACCAAAAGUUACUUAUUUAUCCCUCAAAUCAUUGUAAAUUUGGAGAUAGAGGGUAAUUAGUAAAAUUGUUAAUUGAAAACUAACAAACACAGGUCUUUUGGGAGGUCACAAAGAGAACAAGAACAACAAGAAGAAAGAGAACAAAAACAAGUGUGAAGAAGAAAAGAAGAAGGAAAAAGUGAAGAUGACAAAGAAGAGGAGGAAGAAGAAAAUGAAGAAGAAAAAGAAAAGAAGAAGGAAAAGGGGAAAAAGAUGACAAAGAAGAGGAAGAAGGAAAUGAAGAAGUGAGAAGAGGAAAAAAAAGAAAGGAAGGAAGAGAGAAAGUAAGAAAUUAAAAGAAGAAAAAACAAGAAAAAGAAAGAAAAGAAAAUGAAAGAAAAAAAACAAGAAAGAAAAAGAAAAGAAGAAAGGGAAGAAGAAGAAGAAAGAAAAGAGAAGAAAAGAAGAAGAGUGAUUGUUAUGCAUAAAAUAAUUUGUGUUUAUGUGAGAUUUUUUUAAGACUUGAAAAACAGGGGAUCAUACUCUGAUGCAUUAUGAGAGCUUUUUGUCCUUUAAGGCCACCGUCUCCUAUAGAGCUUCACCCACAGAAGGGGUCAGCAAGAGCGCUUUUGAAUCUACAAUCUGACCUCUGGGUAAAACUGUUCCAGCUGAUCCCAAAAAGUACUAGAAUUUGGUUUCAGUUCACUUAUAAAAUAUAUUGUUGUCUUUGUUUUCUUAGAAAAUAGCAGGAAUGUAUUUUUCUAUCCAUCAAAUGUGAAAUUACAUGAGAAAAAACACCACUUUUCAACCUCAGAUGGUUGCGUUUUUACUAUUAUUGUUCUCUUCUUGUCUGUCUGUCUGUCUGUCUGUCUGUCCAAUAAUCAAAUAAAGAUUACUACCAUCCCUCUCUCGCUCUGUCUCCGAACAACACUGGCAGAAGCUCAGGGUUUCACGGCGCUGCUGCUGCUGCUGCUGCUGAUGUUGGAUGAGCUGUCUCCUGACCCGUGCAGACCUCUCUGUCUGUUUAAUUGGGCCUAAAGCAGGUAUGUAGGGUUUACAAUGCGACCUGGGCCAACACAGAAAAGAAGAUAUGGAUUGCAGUGUAAAUUUAAAUGGACUGUGGCGCCGGG